AUUUAUCAUUUCAAUUAAAUGAAUUUUUCUCUGAUUCAGUAAUUCCAGAGCAGCAACACUUAUUUCAUUUAGGUUGUUCGUAAUAAAUGUUCCAACCUUUUUCUUUAAGCCUUGGAAAAUAGUGGAAGAGUUUGGCUGCCAUCAUUGGAAAGCUCUGCCGAAAGAGGGAGAGUAUGAAAAGGAAAUGGCUUUACUAGAAAGAGUGACUUUGUGGGCAGAAGUGUGUCACUGGAGACAGGCUCUGAAGUUUCAGAUGAUCAAGCCAGGCCAAGAGUGGCAUACUCCUGCUGUCUGCUGAUCCUGAUGUAGGACGCUCAGCUACCUGUGGGCCACCAUGCUUCUCACCACGAUGACAAUGAACUAUACUUCUGAACUGCAAGCCAGCUUCAAUUAAAUGUUUUCCUUUAUAA